AAGAGUUGAGAAAACGUCCCUGAUUAUCGGCAUUGAGAAACUGAAGCAUCGUGCGAGGUGGCGAAGUGUGGAAUUUGCUGUCUGUGGCAGAGUGAAGAGUGGCCACGCUGAAUCAGGUCAGCGCUGGCAGAGCAGCGCGGAGAAGUAGCGGUGGUGGCAGCUACGCUGGCGGCAUAUUGAGAAUUGCAGCGCUGAAAACAAGACAUGCACACCACGCAUCAUAGUAUCCGCAAAGCAACCGAAACUUAGGAAAAACACGAAAUAAAAACGAAAAACAAAGAACAAAAAAAAAAAAACAAAAACAAAAACAAAACCAAACCACGGUGGGUUGCCUCCACCAAGCGCUAGUUUUAAAGUCGCCAGCCCGACGUAGAGGAUCCCUUAACCAAAAUCGCUAUGAAAUGUCAGCUGAAUUAGUCCUCGUGAAAGCACAUCAUCCUCCAG
rnacentral:lncRNA from 1 species